GAUGAACGCUAGCUACAGGCUUAACACAUGCAAGUCGAGGGGAAACGGCAUUGAGUGCUUGCACUCUUUGGACGUCGACCGGCGCACGGGUGAGUAACGCGUAUCCAACCUUCCCAUUACUGUGGGAUAACCUGCCGAAAGGCAGACUAAUACCGCAUAGUCUUCGAUGACGGCAUCAGAUUUGAAGUAAAGAUUUAUCGGUAAUGGAUGGGGAUGCGUCUGAUUAGCUUGUUGGCGGGGUAACGGCCCACCAAGGCGACGAUCAGUAGGGGUUCUGAGAGGAAGGUCCCCCACAUUGGAACUGAGACACGGUCCAAACUCCUACGGGAGGCAGCAGUGAGGAAUAUUGGUCAAUGGUCGGAAGUCUGAACCAGCCAAGUAGCGUGCAGGAUGACGGCCCUAUGGGUUGUAAACUGCUUUUGUAUGGGGAUAAAGUU
rnacentral:rRNA from 1 species